rnacentral:tRNA from 1 species
GGCGGGAUAGCUCAGUUGGUUAGAGCACACGGCUCAUAAUCGUGGGGUCACGGGUUCGAAUCCCGUUCCCGCUA